rnacentral:rRNA from 1 species
UACGUGGGGUGCAAGCGUUGUCCGGAAUUAUUGGGCGUAAAGAGCUCGUAGGCGGUCUGUCGCGUCUGGUGUGAAAACUCAGGGCUUAACCCUGAGCUUGCAUCGGGUACGGGCAGACUAGAGUGUGCUAGGGGAGACUGGAAUUCCUGGUGUAGCGGUGAAAUGCGUUGAUAUCGACCGGAACUCCGGUGGCGAAGGCGAGGUGCUGGACCCUUUCUGACGCUGAUGCGCGAAAGCCAGGGGAGCAAACGGG